UCUAGAAGUAGCGUCUAGAAACGUGGUGCACCUUCACAAGGCCCCAAACCGCGAAUAAGAUUGUUUCAGAACAUUGCCAGUAGUCUAUUUCCCCCGUGAUGAAGACAGCCCUAGUUGCCACGUGUUUUGUGCUGCUGUGUCUUGUGUCUCAAGAGAAUGUAAAAGCGCGUCACACGGACUCUAAGCACAUUGCGUACCAGCACCACCCGGAACCGGAACAUGAGGAACACGGACACGGCGGACACGGACACGGGGAUCAUGAAAGAGAGCAUCACUCCUCCCAAAACCAAGCGCCCCCACGGAAACCCGCAAUGAGGGCCCCGCUUCCAUCUCCCCCUUUCGUGAAGGCGGCGCCUUCACGUGCAAGUAGCACCUAAAGACACGUGGUGGCCACGCCCUCAGCUCACAGGCAAAAAAACGAGGCGAUUAUAGGAAUAUGGUUACAAAAGAAAUUUCAUGCAUGUUGAAGAUAAUGUAUGGAUGAGAAAAGAAUGUUCAGACUCAAUAAGGAUGUAUGUAAAACACGGGCGAAAUAAAAGGCACAUUCAACUAA